rnacentral:rRNA from 1 species
GUGGGGAAUAUUGCACAAUGGGCGCAAGCCUGAUGCAGCAACGCCGCGUGAGGGAUGACGGCCUUCGGGUUGUAAACCUCUUUUAGUAGGGAAGAAGCGUAAGUGACGGUACCUGCAGAAAAAGCACCGGCUAACUACGUGCCAGCAGCCGCGGUAAUACGUAGGGUGCAAGCGUUGUCCGGAAUUAUUGGGCGUAAAGAGCUCGUAGGCGGCUUGUCGCGUCUGCUGUGAAAACCCGAGGCUCAACCUCGGGCUUGAAGUGGGUACGGGCAGGCUAGAGUGCGGUAGGGGAGAUUGGAAUUCCUGGUGUAGCGGUGGAAUGCGCAGAUAUCAGGAGGAACACCGAUGGCGAAGGCAGAUCUCUGGGCCGUAACUGACGCUGAGGAGCGAAAGCGUGGGGAGCGAACAGGAUUAGAAACCCGUGUAGUCC